rnacentral:rRNA from 1 species
GAUGAACGCUAGCGGCAGGCCUAAUACAUGCAAGACGAACGGUAAGUUGAGUAGCAAUACUUAGCCAAGAGUGUCGUACGGGUGCGUAACACGUAUGCAACCUACCCUAUACAGGAGGAUAGCCUAGGGAAACCUGGAUUAACCCUUCAUAGUAUUAUUGGAUGGCAUCAUUUGAUAAUUAAAACUGAGGUGGUAUAGGAUGGGCAUGCGUCUGAUUAGUUAGUUGGCGGGGUAAUGGCCCACCAAGACGAUGAUCAGUAGGGGUUCUGAGAGGAAGAUCCCCCACACUGGCACUGAGAUACGGGCCAGACUCCUACGGGAGGCAGCAGUAGGGAAUAUUGGUCAAUGGAUGCAAGUCUGAACCAGCCAUGCCGCGUGCAGGAAGAAGGCCUUCUGGGUUGUAAACUGCUUUUGCCAGGGGGAUAAAAUUUCCAUGCGUGGAAAACUGAAGGUACCUGGUGAAUAAGCCACGGUUAACUACGUGCCAGCAG